AUUGAACGCUGGCGGCAGGCCUAACACAUGCAAGUCGAGCGAGCCGCGGACGGGUGAGAUAUGUUUGGGGAUCCGUCCGCUAGGGGGGGAUCACUUCUGGAAACGGUGGCUUAUACCGCAUACUAUGGGAUGCACCCAUAUGGGAUUAGCUUGUGGGUGGGGUAAAGGCCCACCUAGGCGACGAUCUCUCGGUGGUCUGAGAGUAUGAUUAGCCACACUGGAACGGAGAUACGGCCCAGAAUCCUACGGGAGGCAGGAGUGGGGAAUAUUGCACAAUGGGCGCAAGCCUGAUGCAGCCAUGCCGCGUGUAUGAAGAAGGCCUUAGGGUUGUAAAGUACUUUCAGCGGGGAGGCGUUACCCGCAGAAGAAGCACCGGCUAACUCCGUGCCAGCAGCCGCGGUAAUAC
rnacentral:rRNA from 1 species